GACGAACGCUGGCGGCGUGCCUAAUACAUGCAAGUCGAGCGAGCGGAACCAACAGAUUUACUUCGGUAAUGACGUUGGGAAAGCGAGCGGCGGAUGGGUGAGUAACACGUAGGUAACCUGCCCCGGAGCGGGGGAUAACAUUUGGAAACAGAUGCUAAUACCGCAUAACAACAAAAGCCGCAUGGCUUUUGUUUGAAAGAUGGCUUUGGCUAUCACUCUGGGAUGGACCUGCGGUGCAUUAGCUAGUUGGUAAGGUAACGGCUUACCAAGGCGAUGAUGCAUAGCCGAGUUGAGAGACUGAUCGGCCACAAUGGAACUGAGACACGGUCCAU
rnacentral:rRNA from 1 species